ACACACACACACAACGAGGCAGUCACUGCACAUUUGGCCGAGACCCUAGCUGCAAGUCCGGAUUUGCAGUGUGGAAAAUUACGCCAUUGUAUCUGCCUGUACUAUGACGUACUAAGACGUACUAUGAGCCAGCAUGAAGGAACUUCCCGUACAUCCAACCGGACCUUGCAGCUCUUGCAGCAGCAUUGAGAAGUUCAGGAGUCGACAGAGAAGAAAGAGGCUGAUUGAAGCGGGACAGAUGACAUGGAUCCAUCCUUCCAC